rnacentral:rRNA from 1 species
AGAGUUUGAUCCUGGCUCAGGAUGAACGCUAGCGACAGGCUUAACACAUGCAAGUCGAGGGGCAGCGAGGGAGUGGCAACACUUCUGUCGGCGACCGGCGCACGGGUGAGUAACGCGUAUGCAACCUGCCCUUCACAGGGGGAUAACCGGGAGAAAUUCCGACUAAUACCGCAUACGUCCUCCGGGGGCAUCCCCGGGGGAUGAAAGAGUUAUCGGUGAAGGAUGGGCAUGCGUGAUAUUAGGUAGUUGGCGGGGCAACGGCCCACCAAGCCCACGAUAUCUAGGGGUUCUGAGAGGAAGGUCCCCCACAUUGGUACUGAGACACGGACCAAACUCCUACGGGAGGCAGCAGUGAGGAAUAUUGGUCAAUGGACGAGAGUCUGAACCAGCCAAGUCGCGUGAAGGAAGACGGAUCUAUGGUUUGUAAACUUCUUUAGUGCGGGAACAAAGCGGCGUCGUGACGCCGGAUGAGUGUACCGCAAGAAUAAGCAUCGGCUAACUCCGUGCCAGCAGCCGCGGUAAUACGGAGGAUGCGAGCGUUAUCCGGAUUUAUUGGGUUUAAAGGGAGCGCAGGCUGCGAGGCAAGUCAGCGGUCAAAUGUCGGGGCUCAACCCCGGCCUGCCGUUGAAACUGUCCUGCUAGAGUUCGAGUGAGGUAUGCGGAAUGCGUUGUGUAGCGGUGAAAUGCAUAGAUAUGACGCAGAACUCCGAUUGCGAAGGCAGCAUACCAACUCGCGACUGACGCUGAGGCUCGAAAGCGUGGGUAUCGAACAGGAUUAGAUACCCUGGUAGUCCACGCAGUAAACGAUGAAUACUAACUGUUCGGAGGGCGACCUCUGAGUGGUAAAGCGAAAGCGUUAAGUAUUCCACCUGGGGAGUACGCCGGCAACGGUGAAACUCAAAGGAAUUGACGGGGGCCCGCACAAGCGGAGGAACAUGUGGUUUAA